GGGCACGACACCGGAGAGGGAGCCUGAGAAACGGCUACCACAUCCAAGGAUGGCAGCAGGCGCGCAAAUUACCCAAUCCCGACACGGGGAGGUAGUGACAAUAAAUAACAAUACGGGGUUCUUUCGGAUCUCGUAAUUGGAAUGAGUACAAUUUAAAUCUCUUAACGAGGAACAAUUGGAGGGCAAGUCUGGUGCCAGCAGCCGCGGUAAUUCCAGCUCCAAUAGCGUAUAUUAAAGUUGUUGCAGUUAAAAAGCUCGUAGUUGAAUUUCGGGGUUAGUAGGUUGGUCAUGCCUCUGGUAUGUACUGGUCUCACUGAUUCCUCCUUCCUGAUGAACCGUAAUGCCAUUAAUUUGGUGUUGCGGGGAAUUUGGACUGUUACUUUGAAAAAAUUAGAGUGUUUAAAGCAAGCUAACGCUUGAAUACAUUAGCAUGGAAUAAUGAAAUAGGACGUUCGAUCCUAUUUUGUUGGUUUCUAGGAUUGACGUAAUGAUUAAUAGGGAUAGUUGGGGGCAUUAGUAUUCAAUUGUCAGAGGUGAAAUUCUUGGAUUUAUUGAAGACUAACUACUGCGAAAGCAUUUGCCAAGGAUGUUUUCAUUAAUCAAGAACGAAAGUUAGGGGAUCGAAGACGAUCAGAUACCGUCGUAGUCUUAACCAUAAACUAUGCCGACUAGGGAU
rnacentral:rRNA from 1 species